rnacentral:lncRNA from 1 species
GGGACAGGACGGGAUGGGAUGUGGGAAGUUAUUGCAGUAUGCAGCGAGAUGGGACAGGAUGGGAUGUGGGAAGUUAUUGCAGGGCCUGUUCCAGCUAUCGUCUGCCAUACCCGAGAAAAGUCAGCGCCGCCUGAUCUCCCCGUCUCCUCCGCUUGUUCUUCGGCAGUUCCCAAUGCACGCUUGUUCUUUAGCAGUUCUCAAUGCACCGGCAGCGGGGAAUAUCUAUAACUCCUCCUGUACCUGGGGAAUAUCUAUA